AACCCGCGCCGUCGGCCAUCUUUAAUCACCACGUUGUUGUUGUUAUUUUUAAUUGCCCCGCCGACGGGUGGGCGUGGAGGUGGGCGGGGUGUCUUUUUUGUGCCUUGGUAUUAAAUCACGGGGCGCUUCAAUGCUUGUCUCUCGGAAAGGCUUUCAGAGGGCAUCUGUGCGCCACGGCACCAUCUUUCUUUCUUUGGGUGCCAUCCCUAAAGGAGGCGAGGCACAGUCAGGACCUGAAAGCAAAAAUAAUCGAGUGUAAGUCUCUCUAGAAUAGCCUUUUUUAUAAUAUGCAAGGUUGUACAAUUCCACCAUUGUUCCCCUUGCAUGUGUGCUGACUAAUUAUUUAAACCUACCUAAAUCCUGCUUGUGCUAAUUAGCGGACGUUUAAACAAUACGCCAUUAUGUCCUUGCCAUACAACCGACGCCAUUUUGCUUCUAUCCUUAUUAAUAUUUUCACUCAGGUGGAAAACAUUUAACGUUUUUGUCCUCUGUUUUAGCAGCUUUGUGGAGUCACUGCCAGUUGAUAUUUACUGUAAAACGGACACAAAUCAGCACCCCAAUAAACUGCAUAUUUAAAAAUUAAAAUGUUAAACGAUAGAAAAACAAAAGUCUGGUAGGUUAAUGCUAGCCUGCGAGGCUAAUUGGAAUUAACAUAGAUGUUAGGCUAAUUGCGGAGCAUACAAAAAUACUCAAAUUCACUGCUGCCCAGCAUGUUGUGGCACAACGUGGUACUACAAUGACAGCGAUUCCAAAUUGGGUGCUGUAUACUG